CGGCCCACUGUCAGUCAUGGUGUGACCACGCCCACACCUGGUGAUGGCUAAGCCAAUCAGGUCGCCUUCCUCCACGAUGGGGCACAAGGAUUGGCUAAGCAGAAGUGGGAGGGGCCAAGGGCCUGGGGGGGUUCGCACUUCCGGUUCCCCAGGCGCUAAGCCCUUGCCUUGAAGGGACUUCUGGGCCUGGAGCCCCACCGCCUGGAAGACGCGGCCGGGAGGCUGCAGCCUGCCGCAGGGAACGAGCCCUGGGGCCCGCGGCGCUGAGCCCUACCCAGUGCUGCCGUGGGCUGGCCAGGCCACCCACCCUGCUGGACCCCGGGUUAGCUGCCCAUCUCAGUCAAGAAGAUUAACUGGGACGCGGAGGCGGUAUUGCUUAGUGGUCACGCCACCCCCCACGUGCAACUGCUCCCCGCCCUCAUUCAAGUAGGAGCGGCAGUCUUCAGACACCAAAGCACUUGUCACAGGUAUUACCUGCCAGGGACCCGGAUGUGCCCCGCCCCGCCCCAGGGUAAUUCAGAAGCAGGAGUUUCACUUUGAGAGCUCUCUAAAGGGGAUGAUGGGAAGACAAAUUGGAAAAGUUGGAGCUCCAGGCGAAUGUGCCAGCCUUCCCAGGUGACCAGAACAGUUGUUCAUGCUGUGAUGUUUUAAUUAAUUUUUAUUUAUUUAUUUAUUUGCUAGUGGAACUGGGGUUUGAACCCAGGGGCACUCUGCCACUGAGCUGUAUCUCUGGCCCUUUUUACUAAGUAGCCAGAGGCUGGCCUCGAACUUGCAAUCCUGCCUCAGCCUCCUGAGUUGCUGGGAUUGCAGGUGUGCACUACCUCGCCAAGUGUGAUUUGCAUAUUGUUAUUAUUUGUUUAUUUAUUUAUUUUAAAAUAUAUUUAUUGCUUUUUUUUUUUUUAGAUGGACACAAUAUCUUUAUUUAUUUAUUUAUUUUUAUGUGGUUCUGAGGAUUGAACCCAGGGCCUCACAUGUGCUAGGUGAGCACUCUACCGCUGAGCCACAACCCCAGCCCUGUUAUUAUUUUUUAAAUAUUUAUUUUUUAGUUUUAGGUGGACAUAAUGUCUUUAUUUUUAUUAUUUUAAUGUGGUGCUGAGGAUCGAACCCAGUGCCUCACAUAUGCUAGGCGAGCGGGCUACCACUUGAGCCACAUCCCCAGCCCAUGUAUAUUAUUUUAAUAACCUGUUUAUGUGAGUCACCUGCUUUUUCUUCUAUUACAAAAAAAAAUUAAUCUUAAAAUUGUCUUCCUCAAUAACAGUGAAACUUCACCUGAACAUACAAUUAUUUUCUAUAGAAUGUGAUGACCGUUCUACUUAAAUUUCCAUGUGUAAGCCUGAGGAUUUUUGCUUUGCAAUGUUGCAGCAGUUUUCAAAACCAGAGAUUCUAAACUCUUUGGAAAAUUCUCUGUUAUGUUUUAUUGCAACAUCCAGGUGGAUGCUUUUAUUUUCUAACAAUUUAAUAAUUCACAUGUUAUAUUUUAAUAACUCACAUAUCAUGACAAAGUUUACCACCCUGGUGCAGGUGGCGGGCCAGUGGUGGGCGGGUGGCACCUGGCCAGUGCUUGGGCCGAGAGCUGGGAGUGCCUUUCCAGGUGGACCCCUUCUCUUGCCUUGGCGUGGUUGGCUUGGAAGUGCCACCACCAUUGUUUCUUCUGUUGCUGCCAGUCUGGGCACAGAUUCUGGCCCCUGCUGUCCCCUUGCAGCCCCACAGUGUCCCAGGCUGCCCAGCCAUGUGGGUGCAUGCCAGGUGGCCAGGGCAACUACUAGGCACCUGUGCUACUCAUUGCCAGUCAUUCUCACUGGCCUCAACCUGCUCGAUGCCACCUGGUAUGUCCUCUCUGCUCCCGCAUGUACUUCCUUUGCACUGGAUUUGCUUGCAAAACACAAGUUCAAGGAUGAAAUUAUGGAGCGUUCCAAGACAGCACAGGGAUUUGGCAGCACAUUAUUCUGAGAGCAGGGCCGGUCUGUCAGAGUCACGCCCGAGAAUCCAGCCCCGCUCCCAGCACUGAUUCCAGCCCUGUGCAUUUCCCCUUUGUUCUAUUUUGGAUCCUUUUUGCUUUUCCUGCUCUCCCUGUGAAUUUAGGCAGCUGCACUUGACUGUGGGUUGGAGCUACGUGGAGCACUUUAUAAAGCGUUAUCUGGUUCACAGCUUCCGAUACUUGUGAUAGAGACGCCCUGAUGCUCCUGUUUCACAGACAAGCUAGGACAAAAGGACAGUGCCACAUCCAGAGUCACCGUGGGGCAGAGCCUGGCUUGAACCACAGUGUGUCCAUCUUUGAAGCCGCGCUCCCAGCCCCCGCUGCCUUUCCUUCAAUCCUUCUGCACGUUUUGGGUCACUCGCGCCCCCUGAAAGCCUGUCUCUAAUGUGAACAUCCUCCCUGCGCUGCGUGUCUCUGGAGUGGCAAAGGCUUCUGCUUUGGCUCCCCAUCUGUCCCCUGUGCUUCCUCUGUGUUCUGGUGUCUUCCCAAGCCCUGUCCCAAUUAUGUGUCCUAGAAAUGCUACUUCAGAUGUGUGAGAGAUUUCAGGCAAAACAGAAAGCCCUCUGCACAAGGCGCCUCAAAAGUGCAGGCAUUUCACGAUGCACCUCGCUGAACCCGGCUGGGGGGAGCCCUCGGUGUCCACCUGGCGGCCCCAGGCCUAUCCUGGGGCCUCCUCUCCUCCACACUCCCUUCCUUGCCAGCCCAUCUGGUCUCCCAGCACCACAUGUCCACUGUGUCCCUGCUGCUGUCCAGUGUCCUCGCCCAGCUCAGGCCACUCCAGCUGCGUUUACCCUGAGACACUCAGGGCCCGUCUCCCAGCUGACACGCUCCACGCUGGCGCCCAGGCUUCCUCUUGCAGCCUCUCGUCCGUCGUCAAGCGGCAGCUCAGGACAGAAUCCCUGAAGCAGUGCUCAGCGCCCCUCCCUUUUUUUACAUCUGACCCGUCAGCACAUUCAGCCAGCUCCACUGCUGACCACCUGGCGUGCACUGUGGUCCCCCUAGUCCAGGCCACUCCAUCGCUCUGCCCCACGGCAGGGGCCACUCAAAUGGUGCCCGUUUCCACCCUGACCUUAGCCAGUGUAUCCUCACCAAGAGCAUCGUGUUGAUUAUCAUUAGUAUGAUAACUGCUUCCAUGUGUAGUGAUCAGAAUUCACCAGAGGCUGUCCUGAGCGAGACCUUUCUUUCUGUUAAUCUUAUUUGAUCUUCAAAUAACCAUACAAAGGGAGUCCUGUUACUAUCCCCACUUUACAGAUGGUGAAGGCAUGGAGUUCUCCAAACUCAUCCAUCUAGAGUGACAGCAUUGGGAUCCAAAGACCAAGGAAAUUUUAACCAUUAAGCAUUUAAAAUACAAAUCAAAGCCAGGCAUGGUGGCACACACCUAUAAUCCCAGUGAUUCAGGAGGCUGAGGCAGGAGGAUGUCAAGUUCAAAGCCAGCCUCAGCAAAAGUAAGGUGCUAAGCAACUCAGAGAGACCCUGACUCUAAAUAAAAUACAAAAUAGAUGUGGGGAUGUGGCUCAGUUAUCUAGUGCUCUGAGUUCAAUCCCCAGUAACCCCCCUGUCCCCCACAAAAUUUCCAAGGCCCCACAGGAUCUGCCCGCUACUUCUCCCAUCUCGUGCCUGGCCUCUCUCUCCCUCGUUCCAGCCACUGGCUCCUAGCACAUUUCUGUCUCAGGGCCUUUGCACUUGCUGUUCCCUUGGCCUGGAAUGCAUGUUUCCCCUCUCCCCAGGUCUGUGCUCAAAGACACCUUUUAGUGGGACCACCCUUGGCCAUGCCUUUUUAAAGGCAGUUCCUCUUUAUUUUCCUACAUAGCACCUGUUACCACCUGACACACAUUUACUGAUUGAUUUUUUAAAAUUGCUCUAUUUUAAAAUGUAUCUUUAGUUAUCAAUGGACUUUAUUUAAUUUUUUUUUUCUGUUUCAAAAUUUAUUAUAAAGCUCCAGCAAGCAAGACUGGUACUGGGAUAAGGAUAGAAAUAUCGAUCAGUGGAGUGUAUUUAAUUUAUUUAUAUACGAUGCUGAGAAUCGAACCCUGUGCCUCACACCUGCCAGGCAAGCGCUCUACCACUGAGCCCCAGCCCCAGCCCUGCUUAUUGAUUUUUUUUUAUCGUCCAUCUGUCCUCACUGAAUGUAGGUCCCCGAGGGCAGGGAUGGUGUUGGUCUAUCAGGUGCUAAAGUCUGACACACACAGCUGCUUAAUUGAAGAUUGGUUAAUGAACAGAUCUGCCCAUCAAGCUUCCUCUUUCCCCUGUGUCACACCCAGUGACCCCCAGGUAUGGUCCUAGACUAGUUCUCCUCUCACCCACCAGAUCUCCUUGACUCACCUUCCUAAAUAUUUUCCCAACCGCCCACUCCCGCCGUCCCUCUGCCCUGCUUCGGCCCUGGCCUCCAGGAGCCUGGAGAGCACACACUGCGUGCCGCGGUUUCCACGUUCUGAACUUCUCAGCGUCUCCCACCACACCCUCUGUCCCCCGCAGCCCUCCCCUGCCAGGCCUAAACCUGCUGUCCCUGGAGUGCCCGCCCCCACCAUCUGUCCUGCUGCCCGAGCCAGGAGCCUGCGGUUUUCCCACCCCCCCUUCCUUCCCCUGCCGGCUGCUGCCAGCUUUGACCAUUAGGAUAUUCCUGUGAACUGUCCCUUUCCUUCCACCCUCACGGCCAUCGUGACCCUUUAUCUAGGCUGUCUCAGUAGCCUCCUAAGGCUGGCCUCCCUGCCUCCCAUCUGACCCAGGGUGAUCUUCCUAAGUCACGGAGACAUGACCAUGUGGCUGCCACUCCAUGAGCCCCUCACCUUACAAGACAAAGCCCCUCACCCUACAAGCAGCUCCUUCUGGGUGAGCUGCUGCCCCCCUCCCCCUGGGCUUCCUGUCCUUGCCCAAUGUCAUCCCCACUUGGGUCAUGCUGUUUCCUUGGCCUGCAGGGCCCUUUCUCCCUGCUCCACUGCCCACUCCUCUCCCCUCCCACACCCAGCUUAAAGGCCAUCUCCCUGUGAAGUCUCCCUGACAGGCCACCCCACCCCAAUCCACCCCAGCUCCUGAGCCAGAUCACAUUGACGGAGGUGAUAAAGACCAGAAAGUGGCUUGGGGCCUAAUGGUGAGGAGCUGUGGCCGCACCCCAAGGUCAAUGGCAUAGCAUAUGGAGGGAGGGAGGGGAGGGGAGACCACACACCUGGAGCAGAUCCCAUGUCCCCCGUGCUCAGGCCUGAUGAGGUUACUUCUUUAAUCUCAUAACACCCUGGGAAGCAGGGAUUUUAAGAACAAAGACACCGGUGUAGGUGUACAGGAUCUACUAAAGCGAUAAAGGUAGCAUUUCAAAGCAGUGAGGGGAAGAAGAGAUUAUUCAAUAAGCAAGUUUCCUAGGAAUUUGGCUCUGUAUCUAGAAACAAUGAAAUUGGAUCCCUUCCAUUGCAUUGAAAUCCCAAACAAGAAUCAAGGUUGCCCUCAUAAAUGAAUGUUGACAUGAAUUUAAGGUGGGGAGUCUUUUCCUCAGGAUGACACAGAAGACAGAGGUCAUAGAGGAAAAUAUUUUAUUUGGCCAUGUAAAGAUGUAAAUGUUUAGCUGUCAGAACAUAAAUGAAAUGAGAAUGAAAAACUGGGAGAAAUAAUCCCAACAUGUUAGCAACAAAAACAUAAGCCUGUCAUUGAAAUAGGCAACUCACAUAGGAAGAAAUACACAUGGGCCAAUAUUAUGUACCCCAAAAUGUCCAAUUUCUCUAGCAAUCAGAGAAAUGCAAAUUAAAACAAAUCAAAGUACCUUUGUAUAUGUGUGUGUGUGUGUGUGUGUGUGUCCUCUAGGGAUUGAAGCCAGGGGCCCUUAUCACUGAGCCACAUCCUCAGCCCCUUUUUAUUUUUUAGUUUGAAACAGGGUCUCACCAGUUGCUUAGGGCCUCACUAAAUUGCUGAGGCUAGCCUUAAACUUAUGGUCCUCCUACCUCAGCCUCCUGAGCCACUAGGAUCACAGGCGUGCACCACCACACCCAGCCAAAGUACCCAGACGAAAAAGUACCGUUCUGAAUUGCCAAUUUUCAAACAUCAGUGCAAGUGGAAUGAGCGCGUGGUGGGGUGCCACGGGAGAAGGCAUCUUAGAGGUGCCAAGCUGUAAACUGCCAUUUUUAAGAUGGUGGGCAGUUUUUGCAUUAAGGGCCUGAGAGGGGAUUUAUUCUGGGAAGACCCUCCUUUUGUUCUUGAAAGGCCUUGUCGGGCAGCUGGAGGGAAGAGCUCUGCCCAAAGCCAGGCACUUCCGACUUCAGUGUCACGUCUUCCAUUCAAUCCUGUGAGCUGGUGUGUUAAAGAAUAAAAAAACGUUGACAGCAAUAUGCAGGAAAAUCUUGUGAUUGUGUGUGUGUGUGUGUGUGUGUGAUUGUGUGUGUGUGUGUGUGUGCGCUCACAUUGUAACUACCGCUUCCACAGGAGGAUGUGGGGGGGCUGCCCAAGUUCAGCAGGGUGCCCUGGGCCUGCUGGGGCGCCCUGGUGUUAGAGUUUAUAUAUGAGGCGUCCCCCCGAAACUCACGUGUGAGUCAAAGCAAGAAAGUUCAGGGGUGAAACACUGGGGAUCCGAGCGCCUUAGCCCACGCAGCCCGUGAUCCACUUGAAGAGACUGAGUGAGUGGAACAGGUAGGACGUGGCUGGAGGGCGGGUCACUGGGGGUGCAUAUUUCGUCCCUGGGGAGUGGAGCUCUCUGCUUCCUGGUGCCCUGGUCUGAGUGGCUUCCCUCCACCACACCCUUCAGCCAAGAUGUCCUGCCUCGCCUCGGGCCCAGAGCAGCGGAGACAGCCAUCUGUGGACUGAGACCUCUGAAACCAUGAUCCCAAAUAAACUUCUCCUCCUCUAACUGUUCUGCUAGGUCUUCUGCUCACAGGGAAGACAAAACAACAGCAGCAACAAGACCUGAGCGGAACAGGCUGGCAGAGCUCGCCUGGCUUGGAAGAUUUAUCAGCGGACACAACAUCUUUGUAUGUGGUGCUGAGGAUCGAACCCGGGCCGCACGCAUGCCAGGUAAGCGCGCUACCGCUUGAGCCACAUCCCAGCCCCAAAUUACCUCCAUUUAACUGUUGAGGCAAAGGAUGCCCAGAGAGGUGAAGCAACCUAUCUGAGGUCACAAAGUGAGUAGUGGUUGACUUGAGCCCCAAACCAGGUCUCCCGAGAGCAGUGCCUCAGUCCACGCUCCGCCCGCGGCCUCCCUGCUGUGGCCUGACACCUGCUGGGUGCCCGUCUGCUGUAGAGAUGGUGAAGUGGGUGCCAGGGGCUGGGAGGCAAACCCUGGCUCUCCUUGCCCACAGUCCUCUGGAUGCUCCGGAAAGACCUUUGGGUCCACCCUUGGCCAUCUUCCAGCAAACUCCCCUUCCUUUGGGGCCGGUGGGCAGGUGGUUGGAGUGGGCGGGUGGCUGUGGGAGGGGUCCGAGGCGGCUGUUUCCAGGAGCCUCCAGACGGAAGAGCAGCCUGCCUGGCAGAUGGGCACUGGCAGCCUCCCGGGGGCCUCGGAAAGGACGGCUCAGAAGCCAGGGCCUCGGUGGACAGAGCCGAGGUCUCCUGGCUGUGAUCCUGUCACCGAUGCCGCUCGGACACCUUUGGAAACGCUCCUGCAGCCCUGGACUCCAUGUGCACCUGUGCCCACCUGGAUCCACAGCCAAGGCCUGCCCGGCUCCUCCUGCAGCCCAGAGCUGCUUCUCAGCCAGAGACCUCAGACUUCUUUGCAUGUGACUGCUCCUAAGGAUGUCACACUGUAUGAACUGCCUAUGGCUGCUGUGACAAAUAUCACCUACUGGGGACCCAAGAAGAGGAAGGUAUUGGCUUGGGUUUGGACUGUAACUGGAAGUCUGAGGUCAAAGUGUCCGAGGGUCCAUUCCUUCCAAGCCGGAAGGGAGACGCUCUCCCAGGUCUCUCCUGGCUCUGGUGGCCCUCGGCAUCCCUUGGUUUGUAGGUACUGCAGCCCAGGCUCUGCUUUAGUGUCCACCUGGUGUUCUCCUUGUAGGCAUUUGUUUCUGGGUCCAAAUUCUCCCUCUUCGUAAGGGCACCAGUUACAUUGGUCAGUGGCCCAGCCUACUCCAGUGUGACCUCAUCUUAACUCAUUACAUCUGCAUUGACCUAAUCCCAUAAUUGGGGACAUAAUUCCACCGUAACAAUGCUGUUGUCAAGUUGGAGUCACAAACACAGCCUCGAAAACAAAGGGGCUUCGCUCCUUCCCAGCUGUGUGACUUUGGACAAGUGGCCUUACCUCUCUGGGCCUCAAUUCGCAGAGCUAUAAAUGGCGAUUGUGCACAUUGUUAGCCAGCAGUUCUAGCUGCUGCCCUCUAGAUCUCCCCUCAUAUUCCUACAGGAGCAGGCUGCUCCCAGCCAGCGACUGAGCACAAGGGGGCUCCUGAGAGAUUGGGGACCCCGACUGGUUUGGUCAGCACUUCUUUAGGCUAUACGAAGGUCUGAGCCCCUCCUACCAAACCCCCUUCAUCUCCCCUAACCCCGGUCCCCUGUGCGGGACGCUGACCUGCCUCCGUCUGGGGAACUCCCUUCUUCUCUGGCUCCCCUCCCUCCUCCACAGGGGUCUCCCCAGAAUACCUGAUCUUGGCGCUCACUGCUGGAGGACCCGGAGAGCAGGGAUGACAGUCACACACCCGUAAGCCCUGGCACAGGAAGUAAUGAAUGUGCCGCUUGGUGAGCGCUCAGUACAUGCUUAUUCACCAAGCAUUUAUUUGGUGACUGCUGUGUGCGAGACGCGGGGUGGCAGAGAGGAGUAGAACCGAGCCCCUGCUUUUGGUCUGAAAAUCAGGGUGCACAGAGACACCCAGGGACAAGACCUGGGGACAAUGUCUGAAAGGGGUGCCCCAGAGGUGCGACAGUCUCUCACCCACAGCCCCACAACCGGUCCUGCCCCGCAGCUAGAGGGAUUGUCCUCAGGUCCUGCGUCCCCUGCUGCACUGCCCGCGGGGGGAUGCCGGACUCUACCAUGGUUCGGAGUGAGGCUGCUCCGGCCCUGCCGAGCUGGCCGUGGCUCCCUGUGGACUCACCACACUCAAGCCAGCCGGGCCUCUGAAUCCAGUGUCCCUGCGGCCGUGCCGUCUCCACCAGCUCCCUGCCCGGGCCAGUCCCUCUCCGCCUAGGCACUCUGCAGGCUCAGAUGUCACCUUGUCCAAGAAGCCGCCCCUGAUUUCCGGAGUCAGAGGAGGUGGCCCCCGGCUGGGUCUCCUACCCCAUCCUCUAUUCUUAAUUUUUUAUCUGUUCUUUUUAGAUAGACAUGACAGUGGAGCGUAUUCUGAAUUUUGAAUUUUUUAUUAAGAGACACCCCGCACCCCAGAUCCCACAGAGAUCUAGAUUUCACCCCACGGGUUCCACGUCUCCUUUUUUCCUUUGCUGACGUGUUAUAAAAACAAAUCCUCCCCUUCCCGCGGCAUUUCCCUGUGCCUCUAAGAAGUUCAAUAAAUAGCUCUUAAAUGCACGAGUGAGUCCUCAGUGCACAGCAACUGCAGAGAAGUUUUCUGACCGACCAUCUCCAAUUGAUGCAGCCAUUAAGAUGCCAAGGUCGCUGGGCCGCAGGACACAAUGCUCGCAAUAGAGAAGGAAUAAGAAGGCCAAGGGCUCGGCUGCUGCUCCUCGCCCUCCCAUCAAAGCAUCUGUCUGGGAUCUGCGUCAGAGCAAGGGGAAGGAAGGGGGCGGAGGUGGGCGAGGGGAGAAUCUUAUUGUCCCUUCACGACCUUCUCCCAUGUGUGUCAUCUUUUCAAGGAACUGUCUGCAAACCAGGUGGCUGCAACACCAAGGUGGCUGUUGCACCCAAAGCUGAUGGUGUCUGGGUCUGGAAGGUCACAGUGUAGUCAUCACCAGGGCUCCAGGCAGGUGUGCGGUCCACGGCGCAUGGGGACCCUGGUCCACCCCAGCCAGCCUGCCCACGGGGACAGCCUGAUGUGGCCCAGAGCUCACUCUGGCUGUCUAAAUGGUUACCAAAGCCAGUGGCUGCGGUGCCUCAGUCCCUCCAGCAGGAGACAGUCUUAACUGACUGCAGACUCCAACACGCAGAGCACAGUUCUCCUGGGAGAAGAGGAUCCAUUUAGUUUGGCUUCCAGGUACGCUGUCCCCAGAGGGGAAGGAGGCCCGUCCACAGCAGACGUCCUUGUAUCCUUCCUGCAGUCCUUCAGAGCUCAGUCCCUGCAAACAGAAGGUGCUGACUUAAUGUAUAUUCUCCAAGGGCCGUGCUGGGCUCAGAGUCCUCUUCUUUAUUAUUUUAUUGGGGGGACAUGGACCAGGGAUUGAACCCAGGGCAGUUAAUCACUGAGCAACAUCCCCAGCUCUUUUUCUAUUUUAUUUAGAGACAGGGUCAUGCAGAGUUGCUUAGGCCUGUGAGGAUGGCCUGAGGACUGAGCCUAAGCAACUCCAUCUUAAAAACUCCAGUUUAACCUGCAGUCUCCCCAGGCACACCCACGGAGCCCUCCAGCGUGGCCUCAGACAAGUCACUUCCCCUCAGCCUGAUAAACAGAGUGAAGCCCCUGGCAGGCUGUCCGCGCCUGCUCCAAACUCUACCCUGGUGAGAGCCGCAACUUCUCCCCGCGACCCUCUCCUCAGCCGGCCGUCCACUCCACGCCAGGGAAAGCCUGCCUUGUUCCAGACCUGGUCACUGCGGUCGGAGUGAGUGGGCACCUGCUGGACGUAAAGCCUAAGGCUUGAGACUUCUGAACUCAGCACGAGAGGGAAUGUCUGUCAUGAGCCUGUCAUGAUUAAGUGUGUCUGCAGUGCCUAGAACUAAUCUAGAAUUGUUUGCUGUCAAUUGAUCAUGUCUAUUGCAGUGCCCAGCAUUAGGAUUGCUGUUUUCUUGAUUAAGAACCUAUAGAGUGAAAUUGUAUCGAGUAAUUUGAGUGAAUAAAGCAUUGAAAGGGGCAGAA